CAGGUUUCCCAUGGUCCUCAGCUUCCACAUGGCAUUGAGCAGAUUUUUAUGGUGACAGCUGGAUUGCAGUUGAACAAAUCCAUCACUCAUCUUCACUGGUUUCUGCAACUGCCACGACAUAAAUAAGACGUGUUAUCAUCACAGACUGGGGAAGCAUUAGCCAGGACAGGCUCAAUGUCAAUGAUGUCAAGGAACCGCAGCAGAAUAAUAGCUCUGUGAAACCAGCCCAUCUAAAUGCCUUCGUCUCUGCUGUGGAAUAAAGGUUGAGUGUGUGCGAAUGACCCACCCAUACGGUCGAUGACUCAUCGUGCAGAUAAACUACCUGAAACGUCAACGUCGCUGGACUCCAUCCGCUGCACUGCUUGACAGCCGGGGUUCUGUUAGGCAUGCUGAGAGGGGAAUCCCGCCUAAGACAGAGCGUGCAUGCGCUUUUCUGCGGCUGCGCGGAUGUUCCCGAAUAGCCUACCAUUAAUGAGGAUGACUCAUCCCUAGAAACCCCACUGGAUGGGUGCGGAGGUGAUUCACCAUGUGCUAUCCAAGGAUGCCCUUGAGUCUAAACCCAAGAAAAGUGUCACGCUGUGCAUAGUUGGUGUUUCCACUGAGAGUUCGUAUAAGCAGAGGAGGAUUGAGGUCACAAUCUGCUUGGGGUCCUUUUUGCCUUCAUGUUUCAUUAAUUAGUAAGACUCUCUGAUUACAGCCUUAGCUUUCAUUUAUGGCUAUUUUAAGGAUGACAUACAGUUUUUGCACCGCCCACCUUACGCCCUCCAACUGUGGAUAAUUUGCUGCUUGGUAUUGCUUUGUGCUCAAGAAAGCAUAAUUUAUUCUUUGUUAAAAAUAUUAUAUUGUGGAAAAUAGGCCUUUCUAUGCACUUUUUUUUCUUGUAGCUGGUAGAGCCUGGCGCUGGCAAUGCUGAGGACACUGAUUCAAUUCUCAGGAAUGCACAUGCUAAUAAAAAGCACAGAUUGGAUGCUUUGGUUAAUUGAGUUGCUUUUUAAAGUCACCAUGAAAUCAAAAUGGACAAUUUUUAUUUUAUAUGGACU